CCAGCCUUAGGUUGGUCGCGGCAAUUACGGCGUUGCGCGCGACAGCGACCCCCGCGACGAGCCUGCGCGCGUCGGCCGAGCGUGACGAUUAGCGCCCUGGCCAAGAAGGCGAGCAGACCCGAUGGUCAACCACUUGUCGAUUUGCUGUUUCAAACGAAACGAAAACUGAGCCGGAGGCCCCAGCAUUGUCUUUGACGCCUGCAUUGACUUCAACUGAUGGAGCUCAUCAAAGCCGCUCCUUGCUGCUAUGGAGAACUCAACUCCGCUAAUUGCGCAUAUGCCAGGGGUGCCAACGAGGAGGCUGUCCAAAGCACUCCAACUCCGUCACCGCUUCUGAAGGAGUUCAUCAGUUCAAUCGCUGUGGCUGGGUAGACUGCUUCAGCAAUGAGCUUGGGAAUGGGAUUUUGGGGGUGGGGGGGGGGGGGCGAACCCCAAGAUUGGGUGGCAGCAGCAGAUACUCAAUCUGGAGGUUUAUUUGAAGAGUACGGAGCUUGUGCGUGAGCAAAUCAUUACUGCGCUAGAAGAUCUGAGGUCUUCUUCUGUUGUAGAGUGUGGCAUUAGUUUAUGCAUGUAUUAUAACAUUCCGAUUUGUAUUCUUGGAUCUAGCUUAGCUGCAGGUAGUUGCCCAUAAGGUUAGAGGUCAGAACAUUGAUAUGUAGAUGAAAUGAGGGUCAAAGCUGGUCAAAACCUGUAGCUACUUUGUGAUGUGAUCUAUCUUAUAAUUUUGAGAUGCACUUAUCAGAAAAUUGAAAUGGACCUUUAUCAAAAGCGGUGAUCAUUUCAGGUUUGAACAAUGUAUGUCUAUGUAAUAGACAGUCUAUAUUUAUGUCUUCGAUAA